rnacentral:rRNA from 1 species
GAUGAACGCUGGCGGAAUGCUUUACACAUGCAAGUCGAACGGCAGCACGGGGGCAACCCUGGUGGCGAGUGGCGAACGGGUGAGUAAUACAUCGGAACGUGCCCAGUCGUGGGGGAUAACGUAGCGAAAGCUACGCUAAUACCGCAUACGAACUCUGGUUGAAAGCGGGGGAUCGCAAGACCUUGCGCGAUUGGAGCGGCCGAUGGCAGAUUAGGUAGUUGGUAGGGUAAAGGCCUACCAAGCCGACGAUCUGUAGCUGGUCUGAGAGGACGACCAGCCACACUGGGACUGAGACACGGCCCAGACUCCUACGGGAGGCAGCAGUGGGGAAUUUUGGACAAUGGGCGAAAGCCUGAUCCAGCCAUUCCGCGUGCAGGAUGAAGGCCCUCGGGUUGUAAACUGCUUUUGUACGGAACGAAACGCGCUGUGCUAAUACCACGGCGUAAUGACGGUACCGUAAGAAUAAGCACCGGCUAACUACGUGCCAGCCGCCGCCGUAA